rnacentral:lncRNA from 1 species
UGAUCACACAGAUGUCAACCGGAAAUUCCUUCCCAUGAGGCGCUGCAACUGCUCAGCACCUGGUAGUGUUGAGUUCGGAACCAUUAAACCAGUGAGAUUCUCAGUGUCUACCCUUUCUCCCAGAGCUGGGUCUUCUUGUGCGUGGCUUUGACUGUGCCACAGGCAGCCAGUGAUCAGCCAUAGAUAUGGACAUCCUUCUGCAGCCGGUCACAGGACAGCAGUACUCACCCUGAACUACUGCCUUUCUAGACCCUGUUGUCACACCCCAAGAUGAAUCAAACGCCAACAUGGUUGCACCUGCUGUCACAGUCCUCCCGUCCACCACGGGUGACCUUCUGCAGCCGAGUCAUUAUUUGUGACAAUGUCUGUCACUGCUCAGCCUUCCGAUCAGAUCUUCCUUUGCCCACCAGAGUGUAGAUGACUCAGCUGAAGGUGUAGAAUUCUCAGCCACCUCACCACACGUCUAUCUGCCUACACAUCACCAUGUCCCACUGUGAAGACAACAGACUGAACCUCUGAACUAAGAAGAAGCUGACCCUCAGAGAUGAGACACCACUGUGCGGUCCGGUCCCUUGCUUGGCCUUGCAGCUGUGGAGGGAAAACAGCGGUUCACCAGCAGGGGGCGCCCACCUCUUCUGGUCAGCCCACCUGCCUGCUCUAGGCAGUCAGUCCUUGCCUGGCCAUCAGUUUGGCCUCCGGCUGUUGAAUCAAUGCCACAAUGCCUUUCCUCUUCCUGUCUCCAUUUGCAGCCACACAGGGUUGUUCAUCGUGUGCUCACUAACUCCCCCACACUCUUGCUACUGCAGUCUGUGUCCAGAAACCGACAAGGAAGCACCCAGCCAGGCAUGGUCAAUAAGCUUGGUACUGAGGUCCUCUUUCCCCACCAGCUAUAAUCCACACAUGCCACUUAUCACAGGGGUUAAUCUCUGUAGCAUGAAUAUUGAUUGUUUUCCCAGUGUGCCCUUGGGAUGCGUACAAUCUCCAGCAGGACCCCCCACCCCUGCCCAGUUUUCUUGCAAUUUCUCCU